AGCGAACGCUGGCGGCAGGCUUAACACAUGCAAGUCGAGCGGGCCCUUCGGGGUCAGCGGCGGACGGGUGAGUAACGCGUGGGAACGUGCCUUCUGGUCUGGAAUAACCCUGGGAAACUAGGGCUAAUACUGGAUACGCCCUUUUGGGGAAAGGUUUACUGCCGGAAGAUCGGCCCGCGUCUGAUUAGCUAGUUGGUGGGGUAACGGCCUACCAAGGCGACGAUCAGUAGCUGGUCUGAGAGGAUGAUCAGCCACACUGGGACUGAGACACGGCCCAGACUCCUACGGGAGGUAGCAGUGGGGAAUAUUGGACAAUGGGCGCAAGCCUGAUCCAGCCAUGCCGCGUGAGUGAUGAAGGCCUUAGGGUUGUAAAGCUCUUUUAUCCGGGACGAUAAUGACGGUACCGGAGGAAUAAGCCCCGGCUAACUUCGUG
rnacentral:rRNA from 1 species